rnacentral:rRNA from 1 species
AUCUGGGCGGCGGAAUUCAGGAUGGCUGGCGUGCCUUCGCGGCGCGUCGGACGUUUGAUAUUUCCGUCGCCGAUAACCCGCAGACGUCGCGACCUGUUCGCGGUCGGCCCCUGCUCGGAGGAGCCGCGUUCGAGCUCGUUGUGUGCGCGUUUCGGCGCGCAACACGGCGAAGGCGCGGAUCUCUGGCUGGCCGUCGGACAGUAUGCUUAACGGUGUCCGGUGUCGUCGUCUCGUACGCGCGCGCACCGGUACCGGUCAGCGACGAAUUCUUCGGGCCUCUUUCCGACCCGUCUUGAAACACGGACCAAGGAGUCUAACAUGCGCGCGAGUCGCGGGGUGUCGAGCGUACUUCGGUACGUUCGUUACGUUGCGAAACCCGUAUAUGUCGAAGGCGUAAUGAAAGUGAAUGGGGAAGAUGGUGUUCCGAGUUCACGUUCCGCGAUCGUCGGUAUCGCGGCCGGACACCCGCAUUCCCGGGGCGUCUCAACGGCCCGUCGCUGAUGCGGACAGUCGUCUCUCGGGGCGGCUGUCGGUCGGCGACGAACCGA